rnacentral:rRNA from 1 species
UAUAGCUAAGAAGGGCACUGGAAGACGACCAGUUUGAUAGGGCGGAUGUGUAAGCGUGGUGACACGUUGAGCUUACCGCUACUAAUUGCCCAUUCGGCUUGACCAU